rnacentral:rRNA from 1 species
GACGGAGGGGGCGAGUGUUGCUCGUCAUGACUGGGCGUAAAGGGCACGUAGGCGGCCGUACCCGGUGAUCGGAGUCGUCCGCCCCCCCGGCGGCGUAAUGGCCGCCGGGGGGGAGUGCGGAAACUUCCGUGCACCUGGCUCCCCCGGCCAAAUCCUCCCUCGAAGGGAGCCGGUCGUUAGCGGGGUGGAUAGCAACGGUACAAAGCGGAAAUCGCUGGCUCGAGAGGGGUUCAGGAUUGCCCUGGUUUCCAACGGAGGAGUAACAUCCAUAGAGGUUGGAAGUGGGCCCAGCUGGCGAAGGCGGCGUUCCGGAAUCCCUCUGACGCUGAGGCGCGAAAGCAUGGGGAGCAAAUGGG